UACAGAGGGUGCGAGCGUUGUUCGGAAUUAUUGGGCGUAAAGCGCAUGUAGGCGGCUUGUUAAGUCGCGUGUGAAAGCUCCAGGCUCAACCUGGAAAGUGCGCGCGAAACUAGCGAGCUUGAGUGCCGGAGAGGGUGGCGGAAUUCCCGGUGUAGAGGUGAAAUUCGUAGAUAUCGGGAGGAACACCAGAGGCGAAGGCGGCCACCUGGACGGACACUGACGCUGAGACGCGAAAGCGUGGGGAGCAAACAGG
rnacentral:rRNA from 1 species